GUUCAGAAAACAAUAUUUUUAUAGAAUAUUCCAUGUUUGUUCCAAUCAUGGAAUAACCAUUAUCUUCUCUUUAUUCUCUUUUAUUUCCAGUAGAUGAUGUUUGUCUCUAUGAGUCGAUCAAACCCACUGAAAGGAAAUAAAAUGUAAAAAUGAUGUGAUUUCAGAAAACUUGUAACAAGUGACUGAUGUGGAAUUAUGAAAUGUUUCAGAUGCAGAUGAAUCCAGAGAUGUCACAUACUCUCUUAUUGAACUGAAACAUUUUGGGAAAAAGAGGAGGCAUCAUGAACCAGAGGAGAGUUGUGUUUACUCUGAAGUGAAGACAAGAACUGCAGAGUCCACUCCAGUGUACGCUGAAAUCAACCAUAAGAAUAAAGGAAAAGCCAAGAGAAAAAACAAAAG